AAACAUUGAUAGUGUAAUACGACCACUAUCCGCCCGGGAACUACGAGCAUUAGCUUGAAACCCAAAGGACUUGGCGGUGCUUNAGAUCCACCUAGAGGAGCCUGUCCUAGAACCGAUAAUCCCCGUUCAACCUCACCCUUCCUUGUUCAUUCCCGCCUAUAUACCGCCGUCGUCAGCUUACCCUGUGAAGGUCUAAUAGUAAGCAUAAUUGGCAAAGCCCAGAACGUCAGGUCGAGGUGUAGCGUAUGGAGGGGGAAGAAAUGGGCUACAUUCCCUGACACAGGGAAACACGGAUGACAUACUGAAAUGUAUGCCUGAAGGAGGAUUUAGUAGUAAGUGGGGAAUAGAGCGCCCC
rnacentral:rRNA from 1 species